rnacentral:lncRNA from 1 species
CACCAAACCUAUGCUACCAACAAUAUCUGGAGCCGGGUGGUAGACUCGUCCAGUUUUCAUACUCAUGAAGAUUUUUGUUGGUUCAAAAGGAACCUGCAACAGAAGCCGACCACCAUACACUCACGAUUUUCCUGUAUAAUGACAUGCGUAAAAACGAUUGGCAAGUCAUCGCAUCUCACAAAGUUUCGUUCCCUUCCACACACUGAUAAGUAGGGGAAAUCAUCUGUGUAGCGGCCAGUCUCAUUCAACCGAAGUCUCUUGAAGAAAAAUGCCAGGAACUUCUUGUCUGGAAUUUUACAUGUCAUAUGUCAAUUGACAUGGACUGCGGAAUAGUCGGCUUUCAGACAAAAAAUCCUGAAAUCUUUUGUUUAUAUUCGAUGUCAUUUAACUAAUUCUACAAACCUUUGAAACAAGAUGUGAAGUUCUUCAUACGAGAAUCAUCAAGAAAUAACUGCAGUGAAUUCGAAAAAAUUACAGGAAGUCAAU